UACAGAGGGGGCAAGCGUUAUUCGGAAUUAUUGGGCGUAAAGAGCUCGUAGGCGGCUUGUCACGUCGGGUGUGAAAGCCCGGGGCUUAACCCCGGGUCUGCAUUCGAUACGGGCUGGCUAGAGUGUGGUAGGGGAGAUCGGAAUUCCUGGUGUAGCGGUGAAAUGCGCAGAUAUCAGGAGGAACACCGGUGGCGAAGGCGGAUCUCUGGGCCAUUACUGACGCUGAGGAGCGAAAGCGUGGGGAGCGAACAGG
rnacentral:rRNA from 1 species